rnacentral:rRNA from 1 species
AUUGAACGCUGGCGGCAGGCUUAACACAUGCAAGUCGAGCGGUAGCACAGGGGAGCUUGCUCCCUGGGUGACGAGCGGCGGACGGGUGAGUAAUGUCUGGGAAACUGCCUGAUGGAGGGGGAUAACUACUGGAAACGGUAGCUAAUACCGCAUAACGUCGCGAGACCAAAGAGGGGGACCUUCGGGCCUCUUGCCAUCAGAUGUGCCCAGAUGGGAUUAGCUAGUAGGUGGGGUAAUGGCUCACCUAGGCGACGAUCCCUAGCUGGUCUGAGAGGAUGACCAGCCACACUGGAACUGAGACACGGUCCAGACUCCUACGGGAGGCAGCAGUGGGGAAUAUUGCACAAUGGGCGCAAGCCUGAUGCAGCCAUGCCGCGUGUGUGAAGAAGGCCUUCGGGUUGUAAAGCACUUUCAGCGAGGAGGAAGGUGGUGAGCUUAAUACGUUCAUCAAUUGACGUUACUCGCAGAAGAAGCACCGGCUAACUCCGUG